ACAACAACAAAAAAUUCCUUUCUAAACAAGGAGAGAUUCCUAAGUACCAAGACCCAGAGACACAAGAACAGAGCAGGGCUAGGUGUAGUCCCUUUGGGUCACUGUCCCCAGGUGAGGAUGCCCGAAGCUGAUUCUGUCUUUGUGUCCCCAGCUCGCCCUCCCCCACCUGCGGAAGGUCCAGGGCAACAUCAUCAACAUCUCCAGCUUGACUGGGGCCAUUGGCCAGUCCCAGGCAGUGCUCUACUCUGCCACCAAGGACAGGGAACAACAUUUCUGCUCCUCCAGAAGGGGCCAAAACCCUGGCCCACCCCCAGGAAGGGUACAGCCCACUCUCCAGGUAUGGGCCCAGUUUUGUUUUGUUUUGUUUAGUACUGGGGAUUGAGCUUCGGACCUUGCCCCCUCCCCUGGCCCAACCUGUUCCUUUAUCUUAGGAUCAGGCUCCUGCUCUUUAUUUUCUCAAGGCACUUUAUGGACUUUCAGCUUCCUGAAGAAUUUGCUUGUCAG
rnacentral:lncRNA from 1 species